AUUUGGAUUUUUAUAUAGAUGUUCAUAUGUGGCAUUCAUCAGUUGUUUUCUCAUUGUGGUCAUUUUCAGAUUUGGGGUUUAACCUCAUGCUGGCUUGGUAAAAUGAAUCUGAAAAUUUUUCUUCUCUUGGCUGGAAGAAUUUAAACACACUGAAGUUACAUAGCAUUCAAAAAUGUAAAAGAAAUUUUCCUCUGCAACAUCUUCUUAGCAUGUGCUGUGAUGUGCUGUGAGGACGCAAGAACGAAGCGUAAGCAGCUGUGCUUGGUCAGAGGAAGGGUUCCAGGAAAGCCACACGGAAGAGAUAGCAUUGGACUGUGACCAGGACUAAAAAGAUGAUGUUGCCUUGGCAGACAACUGGAAAAACAUCAUAAGCAGAGAGAACAAUGUCUAAAAUAUCAACCAAGGUAUUUUGCAACCAGUUACGACUCUGAUUCUGAUUUUCAUGCUUCCUACCUCUUUCGCCUUGGAGUACUGCACUCCCCUCAAUCCUCACCCAAGCUGUUGGGUUGACACAGGAGGAAACUGAAGCCCAGAGGACAUAAUUUAUCUCCCUCCUUGAUACUGGCAUGUGAAGAAGCUGAGGCAGAAGCUGAAGGAAUGGCCACAGGCGCCAAGGAUGGCCAAGGAGGCCCUUGAUGCUUCUGGUCCUGCUGGGACCACUGAACACACAUGGACCUCUCUGCAACUUGAGCAAGGGAGGGUCAGGCUGGGUGACAAAGGCAUGAGCAGAGCUGCCCAGGGUGUCUCUGUGCAUGUUCAUCCCAGUCUUAGCAGAGCACAAUUUCAAUCCACGUUUCAGAUUCACCCAGAUGCCUUGGAUAAUUUGUUUUGGAAAACAUAUAUUGAAGUUACCAGAGCCACAGUAUGACAGAAGACUGGGUCCCAGAAUCAGAACUGCAAGGAAAGUCAUGCACUAAUGAAGAAAACAAUUCUUAAGGCUUAUGUGAGCCGAAAACAAACUUGUCAUGUUGCUGCCUUCAUCCAUUUUUAGAAGAUGUUUGUCCCCAGUAGUGCUACUCUAAUAAAAUACAUCAUCAACACAGUAACUUAAACUGGUCUCAUUAUAAAUCCUAGCUCUCCUAUCAUCGCAGUUUAAAUCCAGCCUACUGAUGUGGAAAGGCAUAUAAAUGCCUUCCAGAUUCUGAAAGGCAUAAUUUUCUUCACUUAUUUCAGGUUUUACUAAGGAUUCCAUACCCUUUGCUUCUGUUGAAUUAUUUCGUAGACACUAUUUUGUAAAGUAGAUAGAAGAGGUGCCUAGGAUUUAGGGUUUUUAAUGUCUUUCCAUCUUCCCAGGAUGCCUGUAUAGUAAUCAUUUAAAAUACAAGACAAUCCAAUAACAUGACAUGAAGCUUUCCACGAACUCAAAGAACCAAUGAGAAUAGACUUCUCUAAAAUAUUGGUGAACAAAUGAAUACUUGCCAGAGUCAGAACAAUGCAUUUUAAUUGAAUUAUUGCACUCACCAGGCAUUCCUGAG
rnacentral:lncRNA from 10 species